rnacentral:lncRNA from 1 species
CCAGGCAGUCGGCGCAGCCGCGGCCUGUCCAUAACCGUGCCUCCUCCGAUCGGCGACGGCGACCACGACGCCACGGUGCGCGCGCUAGCGUAAGCUCUUGUCGCGCGGCGUCACCAGUAGUUUCCCAUCCGCGCUCUUACCGGCGGGCAGCCAUGUGCGUCGAGUUUGUCAUCUUCGUACGCAACCUGGGAGCCCUGGUCAGAGCCACGGUGGGAGGUCACUCCGUCGACCGGCCGCAGCCAAUGGACACACCCGAAUUCGGCGGUCGCGUGGUCGAGCGAUCGAGUCGUGAGGUGGCCACCAAGGUGAAGGAGUCCUAGGCUGUGACGUAGCCGUGGCCGGUGCAGCGGCGGGCACCCUCCUCGGUCGUGACCGCUAACACCACUACUACACCACCACCUUCCGCUGGUUCCCGGUGCGAGGCCUCCGCGGGGCACGUGACUUCGCUGUCCUUUGGGGCAGAAACCGACACCUUCGGCGCCGGGCUGCCCACCACACCGUGGACGUGAUCGUCGGUUGUAAAACAUGAUGGUUGUUACAUUGAUGGUUGUAAAAGCAUGAUAAACGUAGCCCCCACGUGGUCUCACGUAUACACGUACAUACACGCCCCAACACCUUCGUCACACGGCAGAGCUUGAGCUUUCAUACUUUAAAUCGAAGAUCCGUUAGAACGAGACAGGUAUAUACCAGAACGUUUCGUAAUGCGGUACAGUAACUCCAUAUGUUUGCGGUGUCAUCCUCGAGGAAAUGAUGCGGAAUUCGUGCUGGCGCACCCUGUGUCCAAGUCGCGAAGAAUAGCGCUGGGAAUAUACGAAAUUAUUCGGCUGCAUGCGGAAACGUUACAAUGUGAAAGAGAGAGAGGAGGUAGCAGCACAUAGCCUGGUAGUGCAGGGUCAAAGACAGAACAUGGACGUUACGGAAUCUCCUCCUGAGAUCGGGCAAUAGAAAAUUUGUGCAGCAAUUGCAACAAACGAAAAUCUUGGUGCAACAGUUUUGAAAGCAGCUUUUGAGACCACAUACAAAUACAUUAAUUAGUCAGCUGGUACUAUUUACAAUGUAAAAACCCGUGCCGCUAACCUGUGAGCAUAGUAUAAAUCCCAUUGUUCCACGCCUUCCCCCUGAGCUCCCAAUCCGGUAGGAAUCGCCGCGAUUGCUUUUUACUGUGCCCGUUCAGUACGUUGGUGCGUGUACGCAUAUUUUGGCUUGUAUACUUACUGAUUGUUUAAAAGGAUACUGAAGAUGAAUAGAAUGUUAUGACGUAUUUGUGAAUCACGCUUCACGCUACAGGCAGAACGACCACAUUUAUUACGAGCGGAGGCUCGGUAACCCGGACAAGGGACGCUAAACCAAACAACUGGUGGCGACGCCACCGGGAAUUUCCCGCAACUACUCACCUCUGUCGUGGCUUCCGCGAUCGGCUCCGGCAGCGCGCUGCCGGAGCUGAUCGCGGAGGCCACGCCUUGGCUUCGCGGAUUUCCACAACGUCUGUACUCGGGUCCAGUCAUAAAUAAGGACCACCGUUGCAUUGCAUAAGAACCGACUACUCUGCCCAGCAGUUUUCGAGAACUUUACCGGCGGCAAAACGGCCCAAAUACCAAAGGAUAUUUUCGAAAUCCGCGGCAUCACAGUUGCGCGCCGGCGUUGAGGUUCAGGCACGAAAUACAAAUGUGAAAUCUGGCCUUUAUUAAGGCGAAAGCCUUAUAUGUCUCAUCGUUCAGUCGACCUUCAACGUCCUUUAGCGAUAGCCGUGUCGUCGACGCGAAAUCGUACACGAUG